CACGUAGGGCGCAAGCGUUGUCCGGAAUUAUUGGGCGUAAAGAGCUCGUAGGCGGUCUGUUGCGUCCGCUGUGAAAACUCGGGGCUUAACCCCGAGCCUGCAGUGGAUACGGGCAGACUAGAGGUAGGUAGGGGAGAAUGGAAUUCCCGGUGUAGCGGUGAAAUGCGCAGAUAUCGGGAGGAACACCGGUGGCGAAGGCGGGUAGCUGGGCCGACACUGACGCUGAGGCGCGAAAGCCAGGGGAGCGAACGGG
rnacentral:rRNA from 1 species